rnacentral:rRNA from 1 species
ACCGGAGAGGGAGCCUGAGAAACGGCUACCACAUCCAAGGAUGGCAGCAGGCGCGCAAAUUACCCAAUCCCGACACGGGGAGGUAGUGACAAUAAAUAACAAUACGGGGUUCUUUAGGAUCUCGUAAUUGGAAUGAGUACAAUUUAAAUCUCUUAACGAGGAACAAUUGGAGGGCAAGUCUGGUGCCAGCAGCCGCGGUAAUUCCAGCUCCAAUAGCGUAUAUUAAAGUUGUUGCAGUUAAAAAGCUCGUAGUUGAAUUUCGGGGUUAGUAGGUUGGUCAUGCCUCUGGUAUGUACUGGUCUCACUGAUUCCUCCUUCCUUAUGAACCGUAAUGCCAUUAAUUUGGUGUUGCGGGGAAUUUGGACUGUUACUUUGAAAAAAUUAGAGUGUUUAAAGCAAGCUAACGCUUGAAUACAUUAGCAUGGAAUAAUGAAAUAGGACGUUCGAUCUUAUUUUGUUGGUUUCUAGGAUUGACGUAAUGAUUAAUAGGGAUAGUUGGGGGCAUUAGUAUUCAAUUGUCAGAGGUGAAAUUCUUGGAUUUAUUGAAGACUAACUACUGCGAAAGCAUUUGCCAAGGAUGUUUUCAUUAAUCAAGAACGAAAGUUAGGGGAUCGAAGACGAUCAGAUACCGUCGUAGUCUUAACCAUAAACUAUGCCGACUAGGGAUCGGAUGAUGUUAAUUUUUUAAUGACUCAUUCGGCGCCUUACGGGAAACCA